CAUAAUAAAGUGAAUGGAGGACAAGUAGAUGCCAUGAUUAAUGUCAAUCCUGAUAUGAAAAAGAAGAAAGAAGGCUGUCCUUUUAUUCAACAAGGCAUUGGAAUAAGUAUAAAGACAGGUUUCAGGAGUCAGGAUAUGAACAAACAUUCCGGCAAGCCACCACUCAACGCACUGCAGCAUCUGUUUCACUAAAGAGCAAGAUUCCAAAGCUUAGAAUAUAUGCACCCAUGAGAGGGAGAAGAGGACAUUUUUUGCUCGGGGCUUGUACCUAGAGCAUGUGCAACAUUAGGAGUCUCCUAACAUCAGAAGAUGACAAGGCUAUUAGGCCUCAGAGAGCUUCACUGGCUUCAGGAGCAGCAUGAGCAGUCAGGGCAACAGCAGGACUGCUGGUCACAAGGACACAUGUGCAGAAGAAGGAUUCCCUGAUGAACCCCAAAAUCACUGAGGACAAAAUUGACAGGCCAAGUGCGUCCAAAGAAACACAGUUUUAUGACGAUUAUUGUUGCUCCAUUAUUAACUUCCACAGGCAAGUGUGUUCUGAGGCACCCUAGUUUCGAUUAUAAGUACAUACAUAUGCAUUUAAAGCUUUCAGUUGCAUUUUCUUCUAAAUAGCUUAACAUCACAAAAUCACUAUUGUUUUUGGAAAGAUGAAAAAGUUUUCUUCUAAUGGAAGCAAUAUAUUAGUCCCCUAAAACCUCAGUGUAUAUUAGUUUCAUUGGAUGAUUUUUUUUUUCCCUGAAUAGCAGUAAAAACAAAAUCAAUAGGCACGAGAGGAGCAGGCUUCAAUGCAACCAUCAUCUGUUGCUAGCACCCUGCUCUUUAAAAUCCUUGUCCAGGCCAGGCGCAGUGGCUCACACCUAUAAUCCCAGCACUUUGGGAGGCUAAAGCGGGCAGAUCAACUGAAGUCAGGAGUUCAAGACCAGCCUUGCCAACAUGGGUGAAGCCCCAUCUCUACUAUAAAAUACAAAAAAAAAAAAAAAAUUAGCCAAGUGUGGUGGUUCAUGCCUGUAGUCCCAGCUGAGUGUACUCAGGAGGCUGGGACAUGAGAAUCACUUGAACCUGGGAGGCGCAGGCUGAUGCCCAUGGCAUGGGUUCAAGGCCUCGACACAGGGACUUUGGGUCACUGAAGAUCAUUGAGAAAGAAGAACUGACAAUCGAUUGCAAAGCGACCUAUUUUUUUAGAAGUGGGGAAGAGGAAGGUGUAGUCAACAUAUUGAGAGAAGAAAAGCUGAAAAAAUAGAAGAGAAUGACAUUAUUUAAGCCUGUGAAUACUUU
rnacentral:lncRNA from 1 species